rfam:Rattus norvegicus chromosome 7, whole genome shotgun sequence.
GGGGAUUUAGCUCAGUGGUAGAGCGCUUGCCUAGCAAGCGCAAGGCCCUGGGUUCGGUCCCAAGCUCCA